GACAGAGGAUGCAAGCGUUAUCCGGAAUGAUUGGGCGUAAAGCGUCUGUAGGUGGCUUUUUAAGUCCGCCGUCAAAUCCCAGGGCUCAACCCUGGACAGGCGGUGGAAACUACCAAGCUGGGAGUACGAGUAGGGGCAGAGGGAAUUUCCGGUGGAGCGGUGAAAUGCGUAGAGAGUCGGAAGAACACCAACGGCGAAAGCACUCUGCUGGCCGACACUGACACUGGAGAGACGAAAGCUGGG
rnacentral:rRNA from 1 species